GCCCUUUGGUUGAUCCUGCCGGAGGCCAUUGCUAUCGGAGUCCGAUUUAGCCAUGCUAGUCGCACGAGUUUAUACUCGUGGCAAAUAGCUCAGUAACACGUGGCCAAACUACCCUAUGGACAGGAAUACUCUCGGGAAACUGAGGCUAAUUCCUGAUACAGCUUCCAUGUUGGAAUGCAGGAAGCUGGAAACGCUCCGGCGCCAUAGGAUGUGGCUGCGGCCGAUUAGGUAGACGGUGGGGUAACGGCCCACCGUGCCAGUAAUCGGUACGGGUGAUGAGAGUCAGAGCCCGGAGACGGUAUCUGAGACAAGAUACCGGGCCCUACGGGGCGCAGCAGGCGCGAAACCUUUACACUGCACGACAGUGCGAUAAGGGGACUCCGAGUGCGAGGGCAUACAGUCCUCGCUUUUCUGUACCGUAAGGUGGUACAGGAACAAGUGCUGGGCAAGACCGGUGCCAGCCGCCGCGGUAAUACCGGCAGCACAAGUGAUGGCCGAUAUUAUUGGGCCUAAAGCGUCCGUAGCUGGCCAGAUAAGUCUGUUGGGAAAUCCACGCGCCCAACGCGUGGGCGUCCAGCGGAAACUGUCUGGCUUGGGGCCGGAGGACUCGAGGGGUACGUCCGGGGUAGGAGUGAAAUCCCGUAAUCCUGGACGGACCACCGGUGGCGAAAGCGCCUCGAGAGGACGGACCCGACAGUGAGGGACGAAAGCCAGGGUCUCGAACCGGAUUAGAUACCCGGGUAGUCCUGGCCGUAAACGAUGUCUGCUA
rnacentral:rRNA from 1 species